GCUCAGGAUGAACGCUGGCGGCGUGCUUAACACAUGCAAGUCGAACGGGGAUUAUUUUGACAGAGACUUCGGUUGAAGUUGUUAUAAUCCUAGUGGCGGACGGGUGAGUAACGCGUGGGUAACCUGCCUCACACUGGGGGAUAACAGUCAGAAAUGACUGCUAAUACCGCAUAAGCGCACGGGAUUGCAUGAUCCAGUGUGAAAAACUCCGGUGGUGUGAGAUGGACCCGCGUUGGAUUAGCCAGUUGGCAGGGUAACGGCCUACCAAAGCGACGAUCCAUAGCCGGCCUGAGAGGGUGGACGGCCACAUUGGGACUGAGACACGGCCCAGACUCCUACGGGAGGCAGCAGUA
rnacentral:rRNA from 1 species